AAACAGGCUGUUUGGGUGGCAGUUUAAGGUUUGUAAGUAGGAAGAAGAUUGAAGGCAGCAAUUCCUCUUGGUGGAAAAAGAAAUGGAAAAUUGCUGUUUUUCAGGCAACAGCAAGGUGCGUUUGUGUCAAUUACCACAACGACGGGAAAACAUCCAGUGUCAGUGCACAUAGGAUCCGAUCAUGCCGGCCCUUACUUGUGAGAGCAAGCCUUGUUCACGUGAACCUGAGCUACACAGGAAAAAGAAAACUGCCAUUCACGUUAUUGCUCCUAUCCUUCCGCAAUAACCCCCGGACUGUCACUGCCGCUGUGUCCCCAGCCAUUGACCAAGGCACAUGCAUCGCACCCAACAUUUCAGAGCCCCAUGGACAGGAGCAUUAAUGUUCCCCUGGCACAGCAUUUGCAGCAUCAAGAGUUUGCUCCAAUUUUAGCUCAUGCACUUGUUCAGCAUAAAUGAUGUCUGGGUGGACUGAAUUUGUACUGUCAAUGCCUAAGCUUUGCAAUGUGAAUGCAA